UUAGUUCCCAAAUAAAGCCUUAGACUGCUAAAAUUUUUUAGCCUCUGACUCCUAUCUUUACCCUGCCUUACGCCUGACCCUAACAUUUGGUACCAAAACCCGGGGGCAGGUAGUAGCUCGCCUCCCUUGGCUGAGCUCCCUCCUUGCCAAGCCAGAGGCCAACCACCCUACUCUCAAGGGCCUACAGGAGCCAGGGACGACAGACUCGCAAGGCCCCCACGUGGCGAGGCUUCACCCCGAUUGGACUCUGCCUUCCAACUGCUGGAGAUGGAGGAUGACGAGUGACGAGGCCCAGACUCAGUAACUCCAGUGACCCACGUUGAGCCCAGGGUAAAACUCCAGGAAGCAGCCAGAUCAGAUCCGUCGCCCAUUAUCACCAAUAAGAGGUUGGAAUGUUAGGAUGUCCUUGGAACCACAGUAGAGGGGACGGCCAUCUUGCCAGGCCAACCCAAUGAAAAGCCCUGAGCAGCGCGCUAGAAUGAAUUGGAGGUCAACCAAUCACCGAGCGACAGCACGACCUGACGCGAAAAAGGCCCACCUGGACCUAAACCCGGAACCGCUGCAGCUUAAAAACCCCACCCCACCACACCUGGGGGCGACUUCCCUGACUUCUCUCUCUCUCUCUCUCUCUCUCUCUCUCUCUCUGAGUCACGGAACCUCGCCCAAGGCCUUAGUUCCCAAAUAAAGCCUUUGACUGCUAAA